CAUCGCCUGUUGCCUGACCGCUACGGCGGUCAGGUCCGUGCGAUUUUUAUCUGGUCGUGCCGCUGGCCCCGUCAGGCCACCGCCACGCGCAAUGAGGAUACCGCCGGGCAUGCCCGGGUCUGGUCCAGCGCAGUUUCCCCGCUGAUCGGCGAGAGCCUUCGGCGAGGCGACGUAGAUAGCACGAUGCGACG
rnacentral:ncRNA from 1 species